GAAGAGCACAACAUCACUUGCUCGAUCAGACUAACACAGACACAGAGAGGGUGGGAGGAAGAAGAUGAGUAGAGCUUGUAGAGGAGAGAGCAGUGGCGGUGGCCGGAGCUCUCUCGGCUACCUCUUCGAGCCGGACCCGGAGGAUUUCGUUCCGGAUCACUCGACUAAAUCCAUUCAGGAAACUAACAAAGCCCCCAAAAUCAACAUUGUCCUUGAGGACAAGAUGGCCAGCAGCAACGAAGCAGAUCAAGAACACCAGGCUACUCCUAUGAAGAAAGAAGACUCCAAUCCAAUAGUAUCUAACAGAUCUGCUUCCAACAUCUACCAUACUAACCAAUUAGGCAAUAACUCUGGCCUUCUUAUCACGGACCGGCCGUCUACGAGAGUCCGUUGUGCACCUGGAGGGCCAUCGUCGCUUGGAUUUCUUUUUGGAGACGAUUCUUAACUAACGUGCAAAUCUACAAGACUAUAACUGUGCUGUUAUGACUACACCUAUACUUUGGGGGAGAUGCCGAAUUUGGCUCCAAGUCCUUGGUUAUGCCUUGGGGUGUACCUCUGUAUCUUCAAAUUAAUGUUUACUUGUAUUCCAAAUGAUACUUGCAGUUCAACAAUACGGGAAAGGUGGUCUAGUUUAUGUACGUUUGUAGCAAAGCUCUCGGUCAUACGGUCUAUAUGUGAGUAUGCAUGCUAAUUGCUUGCCUGUGUGGCUCUGUGUGUGGAUGUGUUCGUGUAUCUUUGUUUUGGCCUGUUACUAUUGCAUGGCUGUUUGGAUUUUCGUUGUAAAUUGUUGCUAUCGAGAGCAUAUACUUAUGAU